GAUGAACGCUGGCGGCGUGCCUAAUACAUGCAAGUCGAGCGAACAGAUGAGGAGCUUGCUCCUCUGACGUUAGCGGCGGACGGGUGAGUAACACGUGGAUAACCUACCUAUAAGACUGGGAUAACUUCGGGAAACCGGAGCUAGUACCGGAUAAUAUAUUGAACCGCAUGGUUCAAUAGUGAAAGACGGUUUUGCUGUCACUUAUAGAUGGAUCCGCGCCGCGUUAGCUAGUUGGUAAGGUAACGGCUUACCAAGGCAACGAUGCGUAGCCGACCUGAGAGGGGGAACGGCAACACUGGAACUGAGCCACGGUCCAGACUCCUACGGGAGGCAGCAGUAGGGAAUCUUCCGCAAUGGGCGAAAGCCUGACGGAGCAACGCCGCGUGAGUGAUGAAGGUCUUCGGAUCGUAAAACUCUGUUAUUAGGGAAGACCAAAUGUGUAAGUAACUAUGCACGUCUUGACGGUACCUAAUCAGAAAGCCACGGCUAACUACGUG
rnacentral:rRNA from 1 species